GGGGGGGGCGGGGGGGGGGCCUGGCACGGGCGGGUCGAGCGAGGCCUUCGGGUCUAGUGGCGCACGGGUGCGUAACGCGUGGGAACCUGCCUUUAGGUUCGGAAUAACUCAGAGAAAUUUGAGCUAAUACCGGAUGAUGUCUUCGGACCAAAGAUUUAUCGCCUUUAGAUGGGCCCGCGUUGGAUUAGCUAGUUGGUGGGGUAAAGGCCUACCAAGGCGACGAUCCAUAGCUGGUCUGAGAGGAUGAUCAGCCACACUGGGACUGAGACACGGCCCAGACUCCUACGGGAGGCAGCAGUGGGGAAUAUUGGACAAUGGGCGAAAGCCUGAUCCAGCAAUGCCGCGUGAGUGAUGAAGGCCUUAGGGUUGUAAAGCUCUUUUACCCGAGAUGAUAAUGACAGUAUCGGGAGAAUAAGCUCCGGCUAACUCCGUG
rnacentral:rRNA from 1 species